rnacentral:rRNA from 1 species
UACGGAGGGUGCAAACGUUGCUCGGAAUCAUUGGGCGUAAAGAGCUCGUAGGCGGUUCGGCAAGUCGGAUGUGAAAUCUCCACGCUCAACGUGGAGGGGCCAUUCGAAACUGCCGUGACUCGAGUCCGGUAGGGGAGUGCGGAAUUCCCGGUGUAGCGGUGAAAUGCGCAGAUAUCGGGAGGAACACCAGUGGCGAAGGCGGCACUCUGGGCCGGAACUGACGCUGAGGAGCGAAAGCGUGGGGAGCGAACAGG